rnacentral:rRNA from 1 species
GACGAACGCUGGCGGCGUGCUUAACACAUGCAAGUCGAACGGAAAGGCCCUGCUUUUGUGGGGUGCUCGAGUGGCGAACGGGUGAGUAACACGUGAGUAACCUGCCCUUGACUUUGGGAUAACUUCAGGAAACUGGGGCUAAUACCGGAUAGGAGCUCCUGCUGCAUGGGGGGGGUUGGAAAGUUUCGGCGGUUGGGGAUGGACUCGCGGCUUAUCAGCUUGUUGGUGGGGUAGUGGCUUACCAAGGCUUUGACGGGUAGCCGGCCUGAGAGGGUGACCGGCCACAUUGGGCCUGCGAUACGGCCCAGACUCCUACGGGCGGCAGCAGUGGGGAAUAUUGCACAAUGGGCGGAAGCCUGAUGCAGCAACGCCGCGUGCGGGAUGACGGCCUUCGGGUUGUAAACCGCUUUCGCCUGUGACGAAGCGUGAGUGACGGUAAUGGGUAAAGAAGCACCGGCUAACUACGUG